rnacentral:rRNA from 1 species
CCUACGGGCGGCAGCAGUAGGGAAUAUUGCUCAAUGGGGGAAACCCUGAAGCAGCAACGCCGCGUGGAGGAUGAAGGUUUUCGGAUCGUAAACUCCUUUUGUUAGAGAAGAUAAUGACGGUAUCUAACGAAUAAGCACCUGCUAACUCCGUGCCAGCAGCCGCGGUAAUACGGGGGGUGCAAGCGUUACUCGGAAGCACUGGUCGUAAAGAGCGCGUAGGCGGGAGAGCAAGUCAGAUGUGAAAUCCUAUGGCUUAACCAUAGAACUGCAUUUGAAACUGGUAUUCUAGAGUAUGGGAGAGGUAGGUGGAAUUCUUGGUGUAGGGGUAAAAUCCGUAGAGAUCAAGAGGAAUACUCAUUGCGAAGGCGACCUGCUAGAACAUAACUGACGCUGAUGCGCGAAAGCGUGGGGAGCAAACAGGAUUAGAUACCCCUGUAGUC